CUCCCCCGGGCCGGCAGCCACCAAUGACGUGCUGUGAGGAGGCUUCCCUUCCUGUGCUGCAGCUGCACACUCAGAAGAGGCUCCAAGCUAAAGACAAGACUUGUUCAAGAAUUGUGCCCUGAAUAUUUGAUGAUUUGUUCUGCAUACAGAUUGAACAGAUAUGGAAUCUUUAAGAAGAAAUACAAGGAGAGAGAGGAAGCAUACAGUAAUGGUUGUUCACAUAUACCUGCAUGCCCCCCAUCAUUUUACAAAAAAAAAUUGUUACAAAUUAGGAAAGGGGCGUGGCUACAGGUAAAGGGGGCAUGGCCACGCCCCCUUUCCUAUACUUUCAAUGGAAAAAUGGAGAGUCAAAAAUCGGUACAGACCACAGAAAAAAGGUACAGUUGGAGGGGGACAGCAGCAUUACAGCAACGCUACUGGGUGCAGACAUGUAGUCAGGUGCUGCUUGCUGCUGGAGAGCCGGGAUCCAGGGGCCUGGAGGCGGUGCAUCAGGGCUAUGAGGAGCGGCUGUGGGGACGUCACUCGGGAUCCACAGUUACAUCCGCCUCCUAUAUGCCUUCACAUGACUUGAUGUUACACAUAGUUCUACACAAAAGAUACAGAAGGGAAGUAUUGUCUUUCUCUUUCAUGUUUAAGUGAUUUCAAGUGGUAAAAUGAUUUGUUUAUUAUUCUAGGUUAUAGAAUCUUUGGUCACUACCCCAUUUCAAUUUAUUGUAAAUACAAUAAAAAUAUAUUGUAAGAUU